UGAGAGCCUUUUACCAUUCUCAUUGGA
rnacentral:piRNA from 1 species